rnacentral:misc_RNA from 1 species
GCAAACUUGGUCAUUUAGAGGAAGUAAAAGUCGUAACAAGGUUUCCGUAGGUGAACCUGCGGAAGGAUCAUUAGAGAAAUCCAAGGCCGUGCGCCCUCGGGCCGCACGCCUAGACUCUCUCCACACACGUGCACCUUCGACGAGGAGGGGGAGACCUCUCCUUGCCGCCUUUCAUCAUUUACCGAUUCAGUCCUGAAUGUAAAACCCAUAACCAAUACAACUUUCAGCAACGGAUCUCUUGGCUCUCGCAUCGAUGAAGAACGCAGC